UCAGUACACAAUAAUACACUUUCAUAGUUUCAUUCCCAAAAGGGAAAACCGCUAAUUUGGUCCCUAAACAUUUUCACUAACACCAAUUUGGUCCCUUAAAGUUUUUUACUAUGAAAUUAGUCCUCAAAAUAAAAUAUAUAUGUCAAUUAAGGACCUGCAUCACAGCGCCGCUCCAAACUUGUCUCUUAUUGAAGUAGACGGCGGUCCAUUCAAGGACUUUUUGGGCACUUGUCAUGAAUUCUUAGAAACUUUUUGGGGUUUUCCAUCUGCAAUCCUUUUUUUGGGCAAUCCUGCGUUUUCAUCUACGAAGCACAAUGACGAAAAUCUCCGUUCAGUCAAAACGGCAGAAAUUUGACAUCAUGCUUGACUGCAAAAAAGCUUCAUCCCUUAUCAGGAAUUCGAAUCUUCUGCUAGCUAACUUUACUUCAUCCCUCUCACAGGAUUCUCAGGUACCACUUCAUCGUCAAACAAUUCGAAUCUCAGCUCUGGACUCAUUCCCUCAUCCCUUAUUUCACAUAUGUUAUGUAGUACACAGCAUGCCCCAAGCACGAUUGGCAAGUCCUGGAGCUUAACUUCUGUUCUCUUCUGCAAGCACCUCCAUCGAGCUUUCAAUCGCAUAAAUGAUUCUUUGGCAAUAUUCUGAACUUCUCCAACCUUCUCGUUGAGAGCAUGCUGAGUCCAAAUCUGAAUUUGGAGGCCAUGGGAAGUCAUAUGAGUAAGAAGCUUGGUGAAAGUUCAUGUGCAAUUGGCAACAUUCAAUACACGACUAAGCUUAAUUCAUAUGAAGCUGCUUGUAAGAUGGAUGAAGAUUUGCAGUCCUUUGACACAAGUCUCCAUGCUAGAACAAACCAUGUUAUCAGUACUCUUGCUGCAAUUUGAAGAGGAUGGAGUUGAAGGGAAUAGGUACAAUAGGACUUUGGAUGAGUUGAAGAACUUCAAGGCUGCUGGUGACCCUUUCACUGAGGAAUUUUUUGAAAAUUUUCAGUGUACAGGCAGCAAAUUCUGAUGCUUGAGAAGCUGCAAAUGCGAAAGAGUAAGCUUGAUAAAAAGCUUAAGUAUUGCUUGAUAAAAAAAAAA